rnacentral:rRNA from 1 species
AUGCACGCUGGCGGCGUGCCUAAUACAUGCAAGUCGAGCGAACAGACGAGGAGCUUGCUCCUCUGACGUUAGCGGCGGACGGGUGAGUAACACGUGGAUAACCUACCUAUAAGACUGGGAUAACUUCGGGAAACCGGAGCUAAUACCGGAUAAUAUAUUGAACCGCAUGGUUCAAUAGUGAAAGACGGUUUUGCUGUCACUUAUAGAUGGAUCCGCGCCGCAUUAGCUAGUUGGUAAGGUAACGGCUUACCAAGGCAACGAUGCGUAGCCGACCUGAGAGGGUGAUCGGCCACACUGGAACUGAGACACGGUCCAGACUCCUACGGGAGGCAGCAGUAGGGAAUCUUCCGCAAUGGGCGAAAGCCUGACGGAGCAACGCCGCGUGAGUGAUGAAGGUCUUCGGAUCGUAAAACUCUGUUAUUAGGGAAGAACAAAUGUGUAAGUAACUAUGCACGUCUUGACGGUACCUAAUCAGAAAGCCGCGGCUAACUACGUG